AUUGGCAGGUGCUCUCUCCUUCCUAUCGUAUAAUUCAGGAUCAGCAGAAUUAAAGUUGUUUGGAUAAAUAGCAUAUGUGUAUGGUUAAUCUCUGUUAUUUGCUGGUUUUCAGAGGUCUGAGUUUUAGGAGUGCAGUUGCAGAAAAUACUGUUAGAAGCUGUGAAUAUCCUUGGGCUUUUGGGAAGUAUUAUUCAUCACGGUGAGUCUGAGUAUUUUCACAAGAACAAGAAACUCCUCCCCAAGGGUACAGCCUGAAUUACUAUGCUGGGCAUAUUCUGGACUUCCAUGACAAAAAGUGAAGGUAUUUUCAUUCCCUGAGUUAUAGCUGAAAUCUGUGUGAAGAACAACCUGAUUCUUUUGUAAGGUUCUUGUCUUGCAGGUUUUUUUUUUAAUGCAACCAGGGAAACCAUCUUUGAACUCUCACCUUUCAACAAGUCACAGGUGACCUCAGUAAUAUGAUGAAAUGCAUUCUGAUUUUUAAAGCCACAGAGACAGGCUACCUCAGACCCCUGGAACAAUUAAAGAUGAUUUUAUGACAUUAAAGUUAAUGACCAGCAAAAAUUUCCAAACAACAUUUGCCUACAGAAUAAUAGCAAAAGAGCUCAGUUCAUUUUGGAUAUGCUUUGGAAAAUGAGGAAAAUGAAAGGCAACAGUUGAAACUCGUUCCUGUUCUGCAAAGAUAUUGUUAAAUGAAGUUAGCAUUUGGAAAAUAAUCCCUUCUGGUCUUUUUUGCCUUUCAAUAAGAUUCCGUAGCAAAUACAGCCUGUAUGUACUAACAGAAACAACACUGAAGAUAUUGUUUUUGUCUUCUCUGGCAGAGAUGUGUUUUUUUCUUUUCCUUCUAUGAAGACAACCACAAAGGGCUGGACAACAAUAAAAAUCAGUCAUCAAAAAUUUUUCCUGUCAAAAAUAUGAAGAAGUAAAGCUUACAAGUGGAGCUAUAUCACACAUUGAGAAGCUCCAAUGUAUGUUACUUAGGAAAGAUGCAUGUUCACCUGACCUGCAUCUGGAAAUGGAGUUGCAGCUCUUCAGACAAAUUAAGGAUAUCAAAAUGCCUGACUUCCAGGAAGUUCUGUACCACUAUACUCCCAUAUAUUACUGAUGUGAUGGCGGUCUGAAAAAAUAGGCAAUGACCUAAUUCCUUAGUUAAUAGAAUUUUUCCUAUGGACUUAUCUGGGGUAGGAAUUUUUUUGGGGAGGGAAAUGAAUUAUGCCAAUAAAAGCAGAGUCUUGUCAGUAAUGUUCA
rnacentral:lncRNA from 1 species